AUUGACCGCUGGCGGCAGGCCUAACACAUGCCAGUCGAGCGCGCGGCGGACGGGUGAGUAAUGUAUGGGGAUCUGCCCGAUAGAGGGGGAUAACUACUGGAACAGGUGGCCACUACCGCAUACUAUCGGAUGAACCCAUCUGGGAUUAGCUAGUAGGUGGGGUAAAGGCUAACCUAGGCGACGAUCUCUAGCUGGUCUGAUAGGAUGAUCAGCCACACUGGGACUGAGACACGGCCCAGACUCCGCCGAGAGGCAGAAGUAGAGAAUAUUGCACAAUGGGCGCAAGCCUUAUGCAGCCAUGCCGCGUGUAUGAAGAGGGCCUUAAGAUUGUAAAGUACUUUCAGCGGGGAUGCGUUGCCCGCAGAAGAAGCACCGGCUGACUCCGUGCCAGCAGCCGCGGUAAUAC
rnacentral:rRNA from 1 species